UUCCAGACUCCUACGGGAGGCAGCAGUGAGGAAUAUUGGUCAAUGGACGCAAGUCUGAACCAGCCAAGUAGCGUGCAGGAUGACGGCCCUCCGGGUUGUAAACUGCUUUUAGUUGGGAAUAAAAGGGGGCUCGUGAGCCCCGUAUUGUAUGUACCAUCAGAAAAAGGACCGGCUAAUUCCGUGCCAGCAGCCGCGGUAAUACGGAAGGUCCGGGCGUUAUCCGGAUUUAUUGGGUUUAAAGGGUGCGUAGGCGGUUUUUUAAGUUAGUGGUUAAACGUCGGGGCUUCACCUUGAUUUGCCAUUAAUACUGUAAGACUCGAGUUCAGACGAGGUAGGCGGAAUAAGUUAAGUAGCGGUGAAAUGCUUAGAUAUAACUUAGAACUCCGAUAGCGAAGGCAGCUUACCAGACUGCGACUGACGCUGAAGCACGAGAGCGUGGGUAGCGAACAGGAUUAGAUACCCCCGUAGG
rnacentral:rRNA from 1 species